UGUGUGUGUGUCUGUGUGUGUGUGUGUGUGUGUGCUGUAUGUUCUACGUGUAAUGUGAGUUGUUAAAUAACAAAACUGACAAAUGCUGUUUUACCACCGUGUGUAAAUAAGCUUGUACAUAGCCUUGUAAGUAAAUACUUUUCGAAUAGAAA